rnacentral:rRNA from 1 species
GACAAACGCUGGCGGCGUGCUUAACACAUGCAAGUCGAACGGAAAGGCCCUGCUUGCAGGGUACUCGAGUGGCGAACGGGUGAGUAACACGUGGGUGAUCUGCCCUGCACUUCGGGAUAAGCCUGGGAAACUGGGUCUAAUACCGGAUAGGAGCCAUUUUUAGUGUGAUGGUUGGAAAGUUUUUUCGGUGUAGGAUGAGCUCGCGGCCUAUCAGCUUGUUGGUGGGGUAAUGGCCUACCAAGGCGGCGACGGGUAGCCGGCCUGAGAGGGUGGACGGCCACAUUGGGACUGAGAUACGGCCCAGACUCCUACGGGAGGCAGCAGUGGGGAAUAUUGCACAAUGGGCGCAAGCCUGAUGCAGCGACGCCGCGUGGGGGAUGACGGCCUUCGGGUUGUAAACUCCUUUCGCUAGGGACGAAGCUUUUUGUGACGGUACCUAGAUAAGAAGCACCGGCUAACUACGUG